UGCUGUUUCAGAGGUCCAGGUUUGACCUCUGGCUGGGGCACCAAGACCCUGGAAGCUGCACAAUAUGGAGAAAAAGGAGGUAGAAGGAGAGCAAAAAAAAAAAAAAGGAAGUAAAAGGGGAAGAAAGGGAAAGGACAGACAGAUCCCCAAGACUGGUGGUAAAAGCAACUCUAAUCAGUUAAAAACCACACAAUAUGUGCACACCUGCACUUGCAAAAAGAGAAGAGGUAAAGAAACCAGAUAGAGGAGAAAAUGAGAGAGCUAAGAAAAGAAAAAAAGUCCUCUCCCUCUUUUUCUUGAUGAGUCUUGCUAGAGGUUUAUCAAUUUUAUUUACCUUCUCAAAGAACCAGCUUUUAGUUUUAUUGAUUUUUGCUAUUGUUUUCUUUGUUUCUAUUUCAUUUAUUUCUGGAGAAGUUACAACAGACACCGCAGAAAUAAAAAGCACCAUAAGAGACUACUACAAGCAACUAUAUGCCAAUAAAAUGGAAAACCUGGGUGAAAUGGACAGAUUCUUAGAAAGGUAUAACCUUCCAAGACUGAAUCAGAAAGACAUAGAAAAUAUGAACAGACCAAUCACAAGGAAUGAAAUUGAAACUGUGAUUAAAAAUCUCCCAACAAACCAAAGUCCAGGACCAGAUGGAUUCACAGGUGAAUUUUAUCAAACAUUUAGAGAAGAGCUAACAACCAUCCUUCUCAAACUCUUCCAAAACAUUGCAGAGGAAGGAACACUCCCAAACUCAUUUUAUGAAUCCACCAUCACCCUGAUACCAAAACCAGACAAAGAUACUACAAAAAAAGAAAACUAUAGACCAAUAUCACUGAUGAAUUUAGAUGCAAAACUCCUCAACAAAAUCCUAGCCAACGGAAUCCAACAACACAUUAAAAGGAUCAUACACCAUGAUCAAGUGGGGUUUAUCCCUGGGAUGCAAGCAUUCUUCAAUAUAUGCAAAUCAAUCAAUGUGAUACACCAUAUUAACAAAUCAAAGGAUAAAAACCACAUGAUCAUCUCAAUAGAUACAGGAAAAGCUUUUGACAAAAUUGAACACCCAUUUAUGAUAAAAACUCUCCAGAAGGUGGGCAUAGAGGGAGCCUACCUCAACAUAAUAAAGACCAUAUACAACAAACCCACAGCAAACAUCAUUGGUGAAAAACUGGAAGCAUUCCCUCUUAGAUCAGGAACAAGACAAGGAUGUCCACUCUCGCCACUACUAUUCAACAUAGUUUUGGAAGUCCUUGCCACAGCAAUCAGAGAAGAAAAAGAAAUAAAAGGAAUCCAAAUUGGAAAAGAACAAGUAAAACUGUCACUGUUUGCAGAUGACAUGAUUCUAUACAUAGAAAAUCCUAAAGAUGCCACCAGAAAACUACUUGAGCUAAUCAAUGAAUUUGGUAAUGUUGCAGGAUACAAAAUUAACACACAGAAAUCUGUUGCAUUUCUAUACACUAACAAUGAAAGAUCAGAAAGAGAAAUGAAGGAAACAAUCCCAUUCACCAUUGCAACAAAAAGAAUAAAAUAUCUAGGAAUAAACCUAACCAAGGAGGUAAAAGACCUGUACUCAGAAAACUAUAAGACACUAAUGAAAGAAAUCAAAGAUGAUACAAACAGAUGGAGGGACAUACCAUGUUCUUGUAUUGGAAGAAUCAACAUCGUGCAAGUGACUAUGCUACCCAAAGCAAUUUACAGAUUCAACACAAUCCCCAUCAAAUUACCAAUGGCAUUUUUCACAGAACUAGAACAAGAAAUUUUACGAUUUGUAUGGAAACGCAAAAGACCCCGAAUAGCCAAAGCAAUCUUGAGAAGGAAAGACGGAGUUGAUGGAAUCAGGCUUCCUGACUUCAGGCUAUACUACAAGGCUACAGUGAUCAAGACAGUAUGGUACUGGCACAAAGACAGAUAUAUAGAUCAAUAGAACAGAAUAGAAAGCCCAGAGAUAAACUAUGGUCAACUAAUCUAUGACAAAGGAGGCAAGGAUACACAAUGGAGAGAAGACAGCCUCUUCAAUAAGUGGUGCUCGGAAAACUGGACAGCUGCAUGUAAAAGAAUGAGAUUAGAACACUCCCUAACACCAUACACAAAAAUAAACUCAAGAUGGAUUAAAGACCUACAUGUAAGGCCAGACACUGUAAAACUGCUAGAGGAAAACAUAGGAAGAACACUCUUUGACGUAAAUAACAGCAAGAUCUUUUUUGAUCCACCCCCUAGAGUAAUGGAAAUAAAAACAAAAAUAAAUAAGUGGGACCUAAUGAAACUUCAGAGCUUCUGCACAGCAAAGGAAACUAUAAGCAAGACGUAAAGACAACCCUCUGAAUGGGAGAAAAUAUUUGCAAACGAAUCAACAGACAAAGGACUAAUCUCUAAAAUAUAUAAACAGUUCAUCUGGCUCAAUAUCAAAAAAACAAGCAACCCAAUCAAAAAAUGGUCAGAAGACCUAAAUAGGCAUUUCACCUAAGAAGACAUACGGAUGGCCAAGAGGCACAUGAAAAGCAGCUCAACAUCACUAAUGAUUAGAGAAAUGCAAAUCAAAACGACAAUGAGGUAUCACCUCACACUGGUUAGAAUGGGCAUCAUCAGAAAAUCAACAAACAGUAAAUGCUGGAGAGGGUGUGGAGAAAAGGGAAUGCUCUUGCACUGUUGGUGGGAAUGUAAAUUGAUACAGCCACUAUGGAGAACAGUAUGGAGGUUCCUUGCAAAACUAAAAAUAGAGUUCCCAUAUGACCCAGCAAUCCCACUGCUGGACCUAUACCCAGAGAACACCAUAAUUCAGAAAGACACAUGCACUCCAGUGUUCAUUGCAGCACUAUUUACAAUAGCCAGGACAUGGAAGCAACCUAAAUGUCCAUCAAUAGAUGAAUAGAUAAAAAAGUUGUGGUACAUAUAUACAAUGGAAUAUUACUCAGCUGUAAAAAGCAAGGAAACUGGGACAUUUCUAGAGACAUGGAUGGACUUGGAAACUGUCAUACAAAGUGAAAAGAACUCUACUCUAGUCAAGCUGCUGACACCAGAACACACCUUUGUUGUACCUGCCCCUUUGCUCAUGUGGUUGCCUCAUGCUUUUUAGAUGCUGAAGCUGUGAUAUUUGGAAACAGGCAGAUGAUGAUCAUUCCUUUAAAGUUUCAAAAGAUAUCUCUAUCGGGGCAAAAUGAUUAAGGAUGGAUUCCACCAUAAAUCAGCAUAGUACUCAACUAUGAAAACUCCAAAGAUGCUGAGACGUGAACAACCAACCAAAUAAUCAUCACAGAGCAGAAUC